rnacentral:rRNA from 1 species
AGUGAACGCUGGCGGUAGGCCUAACACAUGCAAGUCGAACGGCAGCACAGUAAGAGCUUGCUCUUACGGGUGGCGAGUGGCGGACGGGUGAGGAAUACAUCGGAAUCUACUUUUUCGUGGGGGAUAACGUAGGGAAACUUACGCUAAUACCGCAUACGACCUACGGGUGAAAGCAGGGGAUCUUCGGACCUUGCGCGAUUGAAUGAGCCGAUGUCGGAUUAGCUAGUUGGCGGGGUAAAGGCCCACCAAGGCGACGCUCCGUAGCUGGUCUGAGAGGAUGAUCAUCCACACUGGAACUGAGACACGGUCCAGACUCCUACGGUAGGCAGCAGUGGGGAAUAUUGGACAAUGGGCGCAAGCCUGAUCCAGCCAUACCGCGUGGGUGAAGAAGGCCUUCGGGUUGUAAAGCCCUUUUGUUGGGAAAGAAAAGCAGCAGGUUAAUACCCCGCUGUUCUGACGGUACCCAAAGAAUAAGCACCGGCUAACUUCGUG